AGAGGGACUUUGUUGAAGAGAGACUCCAGUUUUUCCAGAUUGGUGAGCAUACAUCAGAUGGGCAGUCGGGGGACAAGGGGAAAGGGGGCAGGAAUGCGGGGGUAGUCGCCUCUCACUCAAAGGCAGGGGAAAGAGCUGUAGAGGGGAAGGUAGAGGCAACCACAGAUUUAACACCAUCCAGAGGCAGCACAGUGCAAGGCAGUACUGACUGCCUGGACGCACCUACAUUCGCUGACAGCACCUCAUGCACUGUCACAGCCUCCAAGGUCGACCCCAAAUUACGCACCCCCAUUAAGAUGGGCAUCGCAGCUUCCAUUACAAUAAAGAAAGACACUGGCUCAGCUGAACUGACUGAUGUUAAAACUGAGUCCUCAGACAGUCAGAUGCUGGAAUACAUUAGCUUGGAGUCUCAAUUAGCUGAAAGUCACUUUGAUAGCAGACGCACUAACUCUUCCCUGGCUGGCAGAAAAGAUUACCCAUCAGAAAACUACAAUAACAACAAUAACUUAGAGUCCUCCAAUGUACAGGCCAACUACAUCCACUGUGGUAGUGUAGUCUUCAAUUUACAGUCAUCUUCUGAACCCACCUUACAGAAAGCUAGUAGAAUAGAAGCUCAGUCCUGUAGGGAGUCUUUGGAGAAAGCAGAGAAAGCCAGUACUGAGAGUCCUCAAGCCAAAAUAGUCUCAGAAAACAGGCAGCCCAAGUCUAGGCUCCCAGUCAAGGCAGCAGGGUUCAGUUUUGACACACUCAGUUCAGGGAAGCAGAAGCCUAAACAGGUUGUGAGACCAGAGGCAAGGAAAGUGGAUCCUGCAUCCAUAAUGCCUGAGCCCAAGUCUAGAAUACCUGUCAAGGACAUCAAAAGAAAUGGUGCAGCUAACUCAGCUGUCACAGCUCAGGUAGUUCCAAGGUCAAGUAAGCUCCCAGAGUCAGAGAGAUCAGUCAGACCAGUGGUUCCCUCUAAGCUGCCUUUCAAAGACAGGUCAUGUGGUGUUACCGAGGCAAGUAGAGGCAACUUUAGCGAGGUGUGUAGGCAGUCAAUUGAGUUCUUAAAGAAUGUAAGCGGAGAAGCAAUAAAGGUGGCCGAACGACUUUCAGACGAGGAGAAACA
ensembl:lncRNA